AAAAACAAAUCACAACUGCCUAUUCGUCAACAUUCUUACCUCCGUGGUUAGCGUGGCAAAAUAUGAUGUUCCUCUGAAGUCCUUGUUUAGUUGUUAAAAUUGGGAGUGCCAAAAUUACUGUUCCGGCACUAUAGUACACUGUAGCGUUUCGUUUGUAUUUGUGAAUUAUUGUCCUAACAUUGACUAAUUAGGCUUAAAAGAUUCGUCUCGCAAAGUACAACAAAACUGUGCAAUUAGUUUUUAAUUUCAUCUACAUUUAGUACUCCAUGCAUAUACCGCAAGUUUGAUGUGACGGGGAAUCUUCUUUUUACAUAGUGCCAAAGUUGGGAGUUGGGGGUGAAACAAACGAGGCAAAGUUAUCCCGCAUCGCGACGAAGCCGUACACCUCGAGCGGCCACGGGAAGCUGAGCGCCGCCGGCUCGAUCCCCGUCACCGCGACGGAGUAGACCUGCGCCGUGUCGUCCACUCCGACCAAGCGCCGCCUCUCC
rnacentral:lncRNA from 1 species